GUGAGUAAAACAGAGGAGGGU
rnacentral:misc_RNA from 1 species